GUGCAGCAGGCGCGAAUACUUUACAAUGUGCGAAAGCACGAUAAGGGAACUCUGAGUGCCUCCUAAGGAGGCUGUUCAGGUGUCUAAAAGCACCUGAAGGAAGGGCUGAGUAAGACCGGUGCCAGCCGCCGCGGUAACACCGGCAGCCCAAGUGGUAGCCACGUUUAUUGGGUCUAAAGCGUCCGUAGCCGGCUGGGUAAGUUCCUUGGGAAAUUUGGCUGCUUAACAGUCAAGCUUUCAGGGAAUACUGCCCGGCUUGGGGACCGGGAGAGGUCAGAGGUACUCCAGGGGUAGGGGUGAAAUCCAUUAAUCCUUGGGGGACCACCGGUAGCGAAGGCGUCUGACCAGACCGGGUCCGACGGUGAGGGACGAAGGCUAGGGGCGCGAACCGGAUUAGAUA
rnacentral:rRNA from 1 species